UUAAGCGACUAAGCGUACACGGUGGAUGCCCUGGCAGUCAGAGGCGAUGAAGGACGUGCUAAUCUGCGAAAAGCGCCGGCGAGGUGAUAUGAACCUUUGACCCGGCGAUGUCCGAAUGGGGAAACCCAGUGUGAUUCGUCACACUAUCGUUAACUGAAUACAUAGGUUAACGAGGCGAACCGGGGGAACUGAAACAUCUAAGUACCCCGAGGAAAAGAAAUCAACCGAGAUUCCCCCAGUAGCGGCGAGCGAACGGGGAGCAGCCCAGAGUCUGAAUCAGCUUGUGUGUUAGUGGAAGCGUCUGGAAAGUCGCACGGUACAGGGUGACAGUCCCGUACACGAAAGCACACAGGUUGUGAACUCGAAGAGUAGGGCGGGACACGUGGUAUCCUGUCUGAAUAUGGGGGGACCAUCCUCCAAGGCUAAAUACUCCUGACUGACCGAUAGUGAACCAGUACCGUGAGGGAAAGGCGAAAAGAACCCCGGCGAGGGGAGUGAAAUAGAACCUGAAACCGUGUACGUACAAGCAGUGGGAGCACCUUCGUGGUGUGACUGCGUACCUUUUGUAUAAUGGGUCAGCGACUUAUAUUCUGUAGCAAGGUUAACCGUAUAGGGGAGCCGAAGGGAAACCGAGUCUUAACUGGGCGUUAAGUUGCAGGGUAUAGACCCGAAACCCGGUGAUCUAGCCAUGGGCAGGUUGAAGGUUGGGUAACACUAACUGGAGGACCGAACCGACUAAUGUUGAAAAAUUAGCGGAUGACUUGUGGCUGGGGGUGAAAGGCCAAUCAAACCGGGAGAUAGCUGGUUCUCCCCGAAAGCUAUUUAGGUAGCGCCUCGUGAACUCAUCUUCGGGGGUAGAGCACUGUUUCGGCUAGGGGGCCAUCCCGGCUUACCAACCCGAUGCAAACUACGAAUACCGAAGAAUGUUAUCACGGGAGACACACGGCGGGUGCUAACGUCCGUCGUGAAGAGGGAAACAACCCAGACCGCCAGCUAAGGUCCCAAAGUCAUGGUUAAGUGGGAAACGAUGUGGGAAGGCACAGACAGCCAGGAUGUUGGCUUAGAAGCAGCCAUCAUUUAAAGAAAGCGUAAUAGCUCACUGGUCGAGUCGGCCUGCGCGGAAGAUGUAACGGGGCUAAACCAUGCACCGAAGCUGCGGCAGCGACGCUUAUGCGUUGUUGGGUAGGGGAGCGUUCUGUAAGCCGUUGAAGGUGUGCUGUGAGGCAUGCUGGAGGUAUCAGAAGUGCGAAUGCUGACAUAAGUAACGAUAAAGCGGGUGAAAAGCCCGCUCGCCGGAAGACCAAGGGUUCCUGUCCAACGUUAAUCGGGGCAGGGUGAGUCGACCCCUAAGGCGAGGCCGAAAGGCGUAGUCGAUGGGAAACAGGUUAAUAUUCCUGUACUUGGUGUUACUGCGAAGGGGGGACGGAGAAGGCUAUGUUAGCCGGGCGACGGUUGUCCCGGUUUAAGCAUGUAGGCGGAGGUUCCAGGUAAAUCCGGUACCUUAUUAACGCUGAGGUGUGAUGACGAGGCACUACGGUGCUGAAGUAACAAAUGCCCUGCUUCCAGGAAAAGCCUCUAAGCAUCAGGUAACAUCAAAUCGUACCCCAAACCGACACAGGUGGUCAGGUAGAGAAUACCAAGGCGCUUGAGAGAACUCGGGUGAAGGAACUAGGCAAAAUGGUGCCGUAACUUCGGGAGAAGGCACGCUGAUAUGUAGGUGAAGCCCCUGCGGGUGGAGCUGAAAUCAGUCGAAGAUACCAGCUGGCUGCAACUGUUUAUUAAAAACACAGCACUGUGCAAACACGAAAGUGGACGUAUACGGUGUGACGCCUGCCCGGUGCCGGAAGGUUAAUUGAUGGGGUUAGCGGCAACGCGAAGCUCUUGAUCGAAGCCCCGGUAAACGGCGGCCGUAACUAUAACGGUCCUAAGGUAGCGAAAUUCCUUGUCGGGUAAGUUCCGACCUGCACGAAUGGCGUAAUGAUGGCCAGGCUGUCUCCACCCGAGACUCAGUGAAAUUGAACUCGCUGUGAAGAUGCAGUGUACCCGCGGCAAGACGGAAAGACCCCGUGAACCUUUACUAUAGCUUGACACUGAACACUGGUCCUUGAUGUGUAGGAUAGGUGGGAGGCUUUGAAGCGUGGACGCCAGUCUGCGUGGAGCCGUCCUUGAAAUACCACCCUUUAAUGGCUGGUGUUCUAACGUAGACCCGUAAUCCGGGUUGCGGACAGUGUCUGGUGGGUAGUUUGACUGGGGCGGUCUCCUCCCAAAGAGUAACGGAGGAGCACGAAGGUUAGCUAAUCCUGGUCGGACAUCAGGAGGUUAGUGCAAUGGCAUAAGCUAGCUUGACUGCGAGAGUGACGGCUCGAGCAGGUGCGAAAGCAGGUCAUAGUGAUCCGGUGGUUCUGAAUGGAAGGGCCAUCGCUCAACGGAUAAAAGGUACUCCGGGGAUAACAGGCUGAUACCGCCCAAGAGUUCAUAUCGACGGCGGUGUUUGGCACCUCGAUGUCGGCUCAUCACAUCCUGGGGCUGAAGUAGGUCCCAAGGGUAUGGCUGUUCGCCAUUUAAAGUGGUACGCGAGCUGGGUUUAGAACGUCGUGAGACAGUUCGGUCCCUAUCUGCCGUGGGCGCUGGAGAAUUGAGGGGGGCUGCUCCUAGUACGAGAGGACCGGAGUGGACGCAUCACUGGUGUUCGGGUUGUCAUGCCAAUGGCACUGCCCGGUAGCUAAAUGCGGAAAAGAUAAGUGCUGAAAGCAUCUAAGCACGAAACUUGCCCCGAGAUGAGUUCUCCCUGAGACUUUAAGUCUCCUGAAGGAACGUUGAAGACGACGACGUUGAUAGGUCGGGUGUGUAAGCGCAGCGAUGCGUUGAGCUAACCGAUACUAAUGAACCGUGAGGCUUAACCUU
rnacentral:rRNA from 2 species